rnacentral:rRNA from 1 species
AUUGAACGCUGGCGGCAUGCCUUACACAUGCAAGUCGAACGGUAACGGGCCUUCGGGUGCCGACGAGUGGCGAACGGGUGAGUAAUACAUCGGAACGUGCCCGAUCGUGGGGGAUAACGAGGCGAAAGCUUUGCUAAUACCGCAUACGAUCUACGGAUGAAAGCAGGGGACCGCAAGGCCUUGCGCGGACGGAGCGGCCGAUGGCAGAUUAGGUAGUUGGUGGGAUAAAAGCUUACCAAGCCGACGAUCUGUAGCUGGUCUGAGAGGAUGAUCAGCCACACUGGGACUGAGACACGGCCCAGACUCCUACGGGAGGCAGCAGUGGGGAAUUUUGGACAAUGGGCGCAAGCCUGAUCCAGCCAUGCCGCGUGCAGGAUGAAGGCCUUCGGGUUGUAAACUGCUUUUGUACGGAACGAAAAGCCUUCUUUAAUACAGGAGGGUCAUGACGGUACCGUAAGAAUAAGUACCGGCUAACUACGUG